rnacentral:tRNA from 2 species
GUGGCUGUGGUGAAGCGGUUAACACGGCGGAUUGUGGCUCCGUUAUUCGAGGGUUCGAACCCCUUCAGUCACCCCA